rnacentral:tRNA from 1 species
AGGUUCUUGGCCGAGUGGUUUAAGGCGCUAGUCUCCAAAACUAGUUUUCAUGUGUUCGAAUCGCAUAGAACCUGCCA